GAAGGAAGGAGCUCAUUUUGACGUGACUGUCACUCCCUGGGCGGUCUUAUGUUUGGAUGGACUCACUUGUCAGACUCUUUACCUGGCGAUACUUUGAGCCUGACUAGGGUGACACUCUGAUUAAGAGGUCUCAGGUCUGCUCUGAAUUAGAAGACUUCAUUGCAGUCUGACAGCAUGACGAAUCUGCAGCAUCUGCUGUGGCCUGACAGAGAUUGAUUGGCGCUGGAUAUUUCCUUGCUGGUCUGAUGGCUGAUUUAUGCCCGAGCUCGCCGGUGAUUGCAUAAAUGCCAUAAAAACGAAGUAAUCACAGCUGUGCUCGGGUAUGAUAGGGGAGGGACCAAAGCAACCAGAACUGAAGAUGGAACAGACAAGUCCCCGGACCAAAUGGCAACGCUCAUUAAGGUGAACCAGAGGCAGUGUCAGAUAAAUCUCUGAAGUUCUCGCAUUCUUGUCCAAACUCCUCAAAAAACAACACCGUAUCAUGAAGGGUUACACACACUGGGAGAUCAGGACCUGACCCUACAAUCAGUAAUGCCAGGACUGCGGAAGGAGGAUCAGAAAGAGAUACUCUUCCUCUCCGGCUGCUGUUAAUUGUGCUUGUUCCCUCUCACAGCCGAGGGGAGCCCUGCCCCUCUUUUUCUAAAUUUUUGUCUGGCCCUAUACGGACUCACGCGGGCCAGAACACUGAUUGGCGAAUGAUUCUGGCACGGGUCGGGCACUGCGUUUAGAGGGGCUGUCCUUAAGUGAUUUGUGGCGCGUUUGGUCCUCGAUCGCAGAAACUUACACCUUUAAAUCACCUUCCAUUUACCCGCACAUUACUCAAAACGGCCUCGGAGAGGCACAGAGUGGAAUGUAAUGCGCGUACAAGACUAAUGGCCGAGCGAUGCAGGCGGGCCAAUACUCCCGCUAAUGCAUGUAGCUCUGAUG